rnacentral:rRNA from 1 species
GCAAGUCGAACGGCAGCACGGAGAGCUUGCUCUCUGGUGGCGAGUGGCCAUCGGGUGAGUAAUAUAUCGGAACGUGUCCAAUAAUGGGGGAUAACGAGUCGAAAGAUUCGCUAAUACCGCAUACGCCCUACGGGGGAAAGCAGGGGAUCGUAAGACCUUGCGUUAAUGGAGCGGCCGAUAUCUGAUUAGCUUGUUGGUGAGGUAAAGGCUCACCAAGGCGACGAUCAGUAGCUGGUUUGAGAGAACGACCAGCCACACUGGAACUGAGACACGGUCCAGACUCCUACGGGAGGCAGCAGUGGGGAAUUUUGGACAAUGGGGGCAACCCUGAUCCAGCCAUUCCGCGUGAGUGAAGAAGGCCUUCGGGUUGUAAAGCUCUUUCGCAAGGGAAGAAAACUUAUGAUCGAAUAAAUCAUGAGGUUGACGGUACCUUGAUAAGAAGCACCGGCUAACUACGUGCCAGCAGCCGCGGUAAUACGUAGGGUGCGAGCGUUAAUCGGAAUUACUGGGCGUAAAGCGUGCGCAGACGGUUUUGUAAGUCGGAUGUGAAAUCCCCGGGCUCAACCUGGGAACUGCGUUCGAAACUGCAAGGCUAGAGUGUGUCAGAGGGGGGUAGAAUUCCACGUGUAGCAGUGAAAUGCGUAGAGAUGUGGAGGAAUACCAAUGGCGAAGGCAGCCCCCUGGGAUAACACUGACGCUCAUGCACGAAAGCGUGGGGAGCAAACAGGAUUAGAUACCCUGGUAGUCCACGCCCUAAACGAUGUCAACUAGUUGUUGGUAGAGUAAAAUCUAUGAGUAACGUAGCUAACGCGUGAAGUUGAC